UCCGCCCUGACCGCCACCCAGCCGUUGCUUCCACCUCGGCACCGGCGUUGUUGCGGUUGUGAGCGUGAAGAUCGAACAGAGGGAGAGAAACCGCGAGCGAAGGGUGACGAUGGGGCCUCUAUCACUGCUGCUACCACCAAGCGUCGCCGCCGCCGCCGCCACCGCCGAAGGCCCUAUCGUCGUCGUCAAUUCUGCCUGGAUUGCCGCCAUUGCUGGAAACCACUACUGGAGCCGCCAGCACCAUAAUACUCCUCCAACUUCACCUCUGUUCCAUUAGGGCUUGCUGCUGCAUUUUCUGUUUUGGAUUUUCCAUCUUUAAAGCUACCACCAACAACGUCACCCCUUUUUCUGAUUCCAAUUCCGUAAUUCAUAAACCUUCAGAGUUGGUGCCGCUGCCGCCGUUCUGGAUUGUGUUGGAAUUGCUGCUGCUGCUGUAAGUUCAAACUAAGUGGGAUUGUCACAUUUAAUUCCUGGGAUCAGUUAAUCGAGAUUUUGGUGACAUCCUUUAUGCUUACAGUUCUAGAUUGUCAACUCAAAAAGCGAAGAACAUUAAAGGUACCAGAUUGUUAAUAUAUAAUGCUUUAUUAGUGCCUAAAUGAAAGAUGCUUAAUACUCUCUGGAUUAGUGUGGCUUAGCUGUCAAGAAAGUUCAAGAUAGUGUGGCUUAGCUGUCAAGGUGUUAUUCAAUUUGUUAUAAGUUGGUUAGGAAGCCUUUAGCUUUAUUAUCAACAGUCUCCUUCUAUAUAAGCUUAAUACUCAUUGUAAUCAGUUGGCAUUUUUUACUCAUUAUCAAUUUUGGUUAAUUCGGUUUUAUUUUUCCAUUCUUGUUGUACUUCUCUAUUUCCAAACUAUUUCCAAAAGUCAAGUAUAUUUGUUAUGAGGACUUUGGUGGAAAUUGUGCUUUGUAGUGAUUGUUUGACAAUUGAUACUUAUGUAAAUUUAAUGAAUUCUUCAUAUGAUUAAUAAGGUUGAGUUUAUAUAUUGAAUUGUCAAUUUUUGAUAAUUUGCAUUCUUGAUUGGCUAGUUUUAAAUUUUGAGAAUAGAUUCUUAAAGAAUUAGUUAAUUUUAACUUGUAAGUUCUAAUUUAAUUUUAUUCUCAUGAAGAUAGUGUUAUAUGUGGUUUUUUAAUUUUGGUUUU